AGUGAACGCUGGCGGCAUGCCUUACACAUGCAAGUCGAACGGCAGCACGGGUACUUGCUGCUGUUAGCGAGUGGCGGACGGGGGAGUAAUACAUAGGAACAGGUCCUGACGUGGGGGAUAGCGCGGCGAAAGCCGGAUUAAUACCGCAUACGAACUACGGCUGAGAGUGAGGGAACUGCAGGCUUCGCGCUAUCGGGUUGGCCGAUGGCUGAUUCGGUAGUUGGUGGGGUAAAGGCCUAGCAAGGCGACGAUUAGUAGCUGGGCUGAGGGGGCGACCAGCCACAAUGGGAAUGAGACACGGCUCAGAAUCCCAAGGGAGGGAGGAGUUGGGAAUUUUUGGCAAUGGGGGAAAGCCUGAUCCAGCAAAGCCGGGUGUGUUAAGAAGGGCCUCGGGGUUGAAAGGCCUUUUGUUCGGAAAGAAAAAGUUGGCCCUAAAACGGUCGGGGUAUGAAGGGACCCGAAGAAUAAGCAACGGCUAACUAUGGU
rnacentral:rRNA from 1 species